rnacentral:rRNA from 1 species
UACGUAGGGGGCAAGCGUUGUCCGGAAUCAUUGGGCGUAAAGAGCGUGUAGGCGGCCCGAUAAGUCCGCUGUGAAAGUCCAGGGCUCAACCCUGGGGUGCCGGUGGAUACUGUCGGGCUCGAGUCCGGAAGAGGAGUGUGGAAUUCCCGGUGUAGAGGUGAAAUUCGUAGAUAUCGGGAGGAACACCGGUGGCGAAGGCGGCGAUCUGGGUAGAUACUGACGCUGAGGUGCGAAAGCGUGGGGAGCAAACAGG